GUGCUCGCUUUGGCAGUACAUAUACUAAAACUGGAACAAUACAGAGAAGAUUAGCAUGGCCCUUGCACAAGAAUGACACGCAAAUUUGUGAAGUGUUCCAUAUUCUG
ensembl:snRNA U6 U6 spliceosomal RNA